rnacentral:lncRNA from 1 species
GAGUGAAACAAGAGGAAGAGGGGGAAAUAUGGCGAGGAUGAUGAUGCAGGCAGAAGGAGGGGCGGUGCUGGCGAUUUUCCUCUCAAUUCUGUUAUUGUUGUCUACGUCUGUCGAUGCAGCCCAGAUUCUAACGACAGUGAAGACGGCUUACCCGGGCUCUACCUUACCACUGCCUCUUCCAAAAUCACCAGGUGGAUACAGGCGGCCUCUUAGCCUGCCUCCUAGCCCCACUAGAACAGGGCCUAGCCAUGAUCCCGCCCGGCCCAUACGUCCUCCGUGAUGCCCCUAGGAUGGAUAUCUUGAAUGGACUUCUCUGGUUGGCUUGCUCAGUUCCUCUCUUUCUCUGUUUUUCUUCCAACAGCCGGUCUGUUUGCCGAUCUGCUACAAUACUAAAAUAAAAGCAGUGAUUCCUCCUAUAUCGUCGAGGGAACCAGUUUCCUUCUUCAAUGCUGCUUAUUGUUUCUCGUGACGUAAUGAUGUGCUGAAAGAUAAAUUUUCUUCUCCGACCUGUUUUAGACUGAUGCUCAAAAAUUUGUUCGUUUCAUGUCUGAAACGGGGCUUGUG